ACACCAUUCUCAGCAUUUUGGCUAAGAUCAAUUGUAGUAUCUGUUCUUAUCGGUGUGUAUGUGUCUAUAGGACAUCAUCAGAUGGAUGGAUGAGGUCCCAUGGGGCGAUUCACCGCCCUCCAUGGCAAAUCGGAGGGGGGGUGGGGCAAUCU
ensembl:snRNA U2 U2 spliceosomal RNA